rnacentral:tRNA from 2 species
GGCGACGUAGCUCAGUUGGUUAGAGCGUAGCACUCAUAACGCUAAGGUCAGUGGUUCAAUUCCACUCGUCGCUA